rnacentral:rRNA from 1 species
AGAGUUUGAUCAUGGCUCAGGACGAACGCUGGCGGCGUGCCUAACACAUGCAAGUCGAACGGGACCGGGGGCAACUUCGGUUCAGUGGCGGACGGGUGCGUAACACGUGAGGAACAUGACCUUCGGCGGAGGAUAGCCGGCCCAACGGCCGGGUAAUACCGCGUACGACCUUUCGGGGACAUCCCUGGAUGGUGAAAGCAGCAAUGCGCCGAUGGAGUGCCUCGCGGCCUAUCAGCUAGUUGGUGGGGUAACGGCCUACCAAGGCGACGACGGGUAGCUGGUCUGAGAGGAUGGCCAGCCACAUUGGGACUGAGACACGGCCCAGACUCCUACGGGAGGCAGCAGUGGGGAAUAUUGCGCAAUGGACGAAAGUCUGACGCAGCGACGCCGCGUGUGGGAUGACGGUCUUCGGAUUGUAAACCACUGUCGGGAGGGACGAAUACGCCGCAAGGCGGGUGACGGUACCUCCAAAGGAAGCACCGGCUAACUCCGUGCCAGCAGCGGCGGUAAUUC